rnacentral:tRNA from 1 species
CGGCUUGUAGCUCAGGUGGUAGAGCGCACCCCUGAUAAGGGUGAGGUCGGUGGUUCAAGUCACUCAGGCCAC